UCCUUCAUCUGAAAGGUUUUCCUACACUGUGUUCAUUGUUCAGGUUUAUUGUAAUAACCGUGUUAGCACCCUUAGAAUCAGCCAGAGUCAGGAUAAGCAAAAGUCCUUAGUCUUUAUUCUUGCUCUUUAGGGGUAGAAGUGAAGGGGUUGGAAGCAGGAUCUCUGCAACCUUCCUUUUUCCUUGUCUACAGCCAAAGUGACUCUUGCUCGUCUUACUCCACCCCCAGUCCCUCCUACAAUUCUCUGUAUACACCAAUCAUCGAGCCAGCACAGAAGAGUGCUAAGGACCAAUUUCCAACCAUAUGCCCAUAGAGUAUUGUCCAACUGGUAGUUAGCCUCAAGUGCUUGGGUGUCCUGACCUCAGUGCAUUGACUCAAGAGUUUCAGCCCUCUACAUCUCCUGCUUUCUUUUGUUUUAGAACACAGGUAGUCUUGCCAUCCCUGACUUCUCAGGGAGGUGAGAACCCCAAAAUGAGGUGAUCACACCCUCCCUGACUUCUCAGGAAAGGAAGUGAAAACACCAAAAAAGAGGUGAUCACUCUCCCCGACUUCUCAGGAGGGGAGGUGAAAGUACUGAAAAGGAGAUGAUCAUGCCCUCCCUGACAUCUCAGGGAGAUGAAAAACACCAAAGGAAAGUGGGGAUUGCGAACAGGUUUCUGGGCUGAAGGGUUUUAUUAGAAACAGGUAUGCACAAACCCAUCAGCAUGGGAGGUAUUACACAAGCACAUAUCAAUAUUGCACAGGCUAGUAGUGAUGACUCUCCGCACAACCACUGCAGGCUCAAUGUGGUGCAACAAACAUCAAUUGUACAUGCAAGUAGUGAUAUAACAAACAAUAUGAAUCACCAUAGUGUUGUAAAAGAUUUCCACAAGUUCUAAAAGAAGGGUAUGUAAACAACAGUCACACAUACGCCUUCUUCAGCAGCCAAGAGAUAGUCCAAAAUCAAUCUAUUGUGCAUUGCUUAACAUGUCAUGGGAUCCAAUGAUUCCCACAAGUUUUUGAAGUCCUGCAACAGUCUUUUCAUAUCUCAGAGAAUCCAGUGAUUCCUGAGAGUUUUGCAGUUCUACAAUUGUUGAUGUCCACAAGUCAAACGCCAUAACUGCCGUGCUCAUUCAGUAGUGAGCACAGUCAGCAAUGGAACCACCAGAUGUUUCUUGGGUCUUCUUACUUUCAAGGUGUGCUCCAUCUCUCUCUGAUGGACAAGGUGAAUAUGGCACAUUGGCACCCAUCUGAUUCCUUCUCCAUUUGUGGAGAUAACAGCAAACCCUCUCCCCAAGCAGUUAACAUAUCUGGUCCCUUCCAUUCACCACUUUCUGGGCCUCUCCACAUCACCUGGCGAUUAAAGAUAAUGGAGAGGCUCGCACUGGACACUGCCCUUCCGGUGGGUUAUAAAACCUGCCUGCCAGAGCCAAUGCACCUUGUCAAACAUCAAGAAAUAGUAUAAAGAGCUAGAUUUACAAGUUCUUUAGGGUUGUCUGUGGCUCCCCCUUUCUUUUGUUUUCAGAGGAGCAUCUUAAUGUCUCUCUUUCUCUUCUCUACUAUUGUCUGAACUUGAGGAUUAAAAGGUAUGCUAGUGGUGUGUAAAAUCUUACACUGUGCACACAAGUGUGCAAAAUGUUUAGAAGUAUAUGCAGGACCAUUGUCUGUUUUCCUUGCUUGUGGCACACCCAUAAUUGCAAAUGCUUGUAUAAGGAAUUCAGUGACCACUCAGGCUGUCUCUUUUGCUGCUGAUAUUGUAAAAGUGAAUCCUGAAAAGGUGUCUACCACAACAUGGAAAAAAGACAGAGGACCAAAAGAUUUAUAAUGGGUCAAAUCCAUUUGCCACAUUUCAAUGGGUCUCAAACCACAAGGGUUCUUCUCUGGAGGCAGUGUAGGAGCGUGGAAGGGAAGGCAAGGUGUACAGGUUUUUACUAUGCUCCUACCUUCCUCUCUUGUUAUUCCAAAUUAUAAGCGUAAAGCUCGAGCAGCCUGAUGAUAUUUAGAAUGAGAUUCUUGGGCUGCCUUUCAAAGUGUGCUCCAUUUCUUUCUGAGGGACAAGGUGAAUAUGGCUCAUUGGCACCCAUCUGAUUCCUUCUCCAUUUGUGGAGAUACAAACAAACCCUCUCCCCCAAGCAGUUAACAUAUCGGGUCCCUUCCAUUCACCACUUUCUGGGCCUCUCCACAUCACCUGGCGAUUAAAGAUAAUGGAGAGGCUCGCACUGGACACUGCCCUUCCGGUGGGUUAUAAAACCUGCCUGCCAGAGCCAAUGCACCUUGUCAAACAUCAAGAAAUAGUAUAAAGAGCUAGAUUUACAAGUUCUUUAGGGUUGUCUGUGGCUCCCCCUUUCUUUUGUUUUCAGAGGAGCAUCUUAAUGUCUCUCUUUCUCUUCUCUACUAUUGUCUGAACUUGAGGAUUAAAAGGUAUGCUAGUGGUGUGUAAAAUCUUACACUGUGCACAAAAGUGUGCAAAAUGUUUAGAAGUAUAUGCAGGACCAUUGUCUGUUUUCCUUGCUUGUGGCACACCCAUAAUUGCAAAUGCUUGUAUAAGGAAUUCAGUGACCACUCAGGCUGUCUCUUUUGCUGCUGAUAUUGUAAAAGUGAAUCCUGAAAAGGUGUCUACCACAACAUGGAAAAAAGACAGAGGACCAAAAGAUUUAUAAUGGGUCAAAUCCAUUUGCCACAUUUCAAUGGGUCUCAAACCACAAGGGUUCUUCUCUGGAGGCAGUGUAGGAGCGUGGAAGGGAAGGCAAGGUGUACAGGUUUUUACUAUGCUCCUAUCUUCCUCUCUUGUUAUUCCAAAUUGUAAGCGUAAAGCUCGAGCAGCCUGAUGAUAUUUAGAAUGAGAUUCUUGGGCUGCCUUUCAAAGUGUGCUCCAUCUCUUUCUGAUGGACAAGGUGAAUACGGCUUGUUGGCACUCAUCUGAUUCCUUCUCCAUUUGUGGAGAUAAGAGCAAACCCUCUCCCCCAAGCAGUUUAUCUAUCCGGUCCCUUCCAUUCACCACUUUCUGAGCCUCUCCACAUCACC